rnacentral:rRNA from 1 species
ACGGCUCAGUAACACGUCAUCAACCUGCCUUAGAUCAAGGAUACCCUUGGGAAACUGAGGUUAACACUUGAUAGGAGAAAAUUCUGGAAUGAAUUUUCUUUUAAAAGCAAUGUCUAAGGAUGGGAUGGCGGUUGAUUAGGUAGUUGGUGAGGUAAAGGCUCACCAAGCCCAAGAUCAAUAGGGGCCUUGAAAGAGGUAUCCUCGAGAAGGACACUGAGAUACUGGUCCUAGCCCUACGGGGUGCAGCAGGCGCGAAAACUUUACACUACACGAAAGCGUGAUAAGGGAAUCCCGAGUGCUUAUGCAAUGCAUAGGCUUUUGCCAAGAGCAAAUAUCUUGGAGAAUAAGUGGUGGGCAAGACUGGUGCCAGCCGCCGCGGUAACACCAGCUCCGCUAGUGGUGACCGAUUUUAUUGGGCCUAAAGCGUCCGUAGCUGGUUAUGUAAAUCUUUUGUGAAAUCGUUGCGCUUAACGCAACGGCUUGCAGGGACACUGCAUAACUUGGAACAGGGAGAAGUCAAAAGUAUUCUUGGGGGAGCGGUAAAAUGCUAUAAUCCCAAGAGGACUACCUAUGGCGAAGGCAUUUGACUAGAACUGAUUCGACAGUCAGGGACGAAAGCCAGGGGAGCAAACCGGAUUAGAUAUCGAGAAAUCUGCAAAUAGAUUUCUGAACUUAGUUUCUCGUGUGUUUGCAAUAAAUUACUGCACGCUAGGUUCAGUGAGAACAUGAGAUUUCACUCGACUAAGUACCCGAGUAGUCCUGGCCGUAAACGCUGCGAGUAAGGUGUUGCAUAUUCCUCGUGAAUGUGCAGUAUCGAAACGAAGGUGAUAAACUCGCCGCCUGGGAAGUAUGGUCGCAAGGCUGAAACUUAAAGGAAUUGGCGGGGGAGCAC